rnacentral:rRNA from 1 species
GACGAACGCUGGCGGCGUGCUUAACACAUGCAAGUCGAGCGGUAAGGCCCUUUCGGGGGUACACGAGCGGCGAACGGGUGAGUAACACGUGGGUGACCUGCCCUCAGCUCUGGGAUAAGCCUGGGAAACCGGGUCUAAUACUGGAUAUGACUCCAUGACGCAUGUUGUGGGGUGGAAAGCCUUGUGCGGCUGAGGAUGGGCCCGCGGCCUAUCAGCUUGUUGGUGGGGUGANGGCCUACCAAGGCGACGACGGGUAGCCGGCCUGAGAGGGCGACCGGCCACACUGGGACUGAGACACGGCCCAGACUCCUACGGGAGGUCAGCAGUGGGGAAUCUUGCGCAAUGGGCGAAAGCCUGACGCAGCGACGCCGCGUGAGGGAUGACGGCCUCGG